GAAUAAAUUUAAUGCAUGUCUCUGUUCCCGUAGACUACAAAUGUCGUAAUCGCAGACGCGCCUUAAUCUAUGUUAAUGGAGAAUGUGAAGCAGAGGCGUUGAAGCUUGAUGGAAGUUACGUGGGAGGACUUGUUUCAAAAAAAAAAAGUAACGUGGGAGGACGUAUUUUAACAAUUACGGCUUACCCUUUUGACGACAAUAGCCUUGAGCAUCUCUUUGCUCCUACCAGUGUCAUAGACGAAUACCGACAGCACACGUAAAUUGAUUUUUUUUUCCUUUCUUAUUUAUUAGUCGAGAAUCUUUCUUGUCAUGUUGAUAAUACCAUCUCCUGCCAUAUUUAGGUUGAAAGUUAGAGGAUUUGAUACUUCCCUCUCUCUGAAUGAUAUCGAGAAGAUGCUACUUAGGGUUUUCCCCGGAUCCGAUUGUUUUCCUCUCUGCGACGGGUGUGUUUUCUUCCUCCCACCAAGUUUACUGGUUAAUUUUAUCAGUUUGCGCUACCUAAAGCCUUGUUUGAGUUUUUGCAGCUCAGUUUUGCUUUAUCUCCGUGGACAUUAUGCUAUGGACGAGGCUCUGAAACUUAGCGGAGGUUCUGUGGAAGGCUUUAAAUUUGCAGUUACUGAGGUCCUCCCAGAAACUGUGAUAGAGACUGGCAUCUCUCUCGCAACUGUACGUAGCUUUGGCUUUCGUGGAUAAUUCUAAAACCAAUCAGAAGAUCAAGACUGCGGACUAGAAAUCUCUCGCUCUCUUUCUCUCUCAAAUGCUGUCUCGUGUUAUUAACUUGUGUCAUGCAAUGCCUCCUUCUUUUCUCUUGUCUGGAUGUUGAAUGUGUUUUUAUUUGUUUUUUAUGAUAAAUCUCUGUAAAAACACUAUGACAAACUUGGUUGUCCAAUCAAUAAUCAUUAUGGUAACUCGGUUUGCUAAAGUGAAAACGAAGUUUAAAAAGCUUUUUGCCUCUGAGGAAGCUGAUGAGCAUUCUUUUGCCAUAUUGGGUUUAUAACCAGCUGUAAUAAUUUAUUAAUUAAGAUAUAUAUUUUAAUUUGUAUACUAUGUACCUUUUCUCUGUAUCAUACUUUAAUAAAUGUCCCACUCAAACAAAUGAUCGGUUUGGCGUUGCAAACGUCAUAUUUGUGAGCGUAUUGCGUAACGCAUCAUUCACAUGACUAACGUUUAUUAUAUCUUUUUCCUUUUGUAUAAUUACUGAAAACAUUAUCUUUCCAUUAAAUCAGAAAGACAAUGCAAUACUUUUUUUUUAACACAUAUUAAUGUAUUUAAUUUAUUAAAUAAUUAUGUGCAUGGUUGCAGUUAAGGCACUUAACCAAGCGAGGUUAGAAGCAAAUGUGAGCGUAACCGGAGAAACCAACUUUAAAAAUAAAUGGCCAAGUCCAUUCGCGGUUGUUUCCGGCGUACUUCUCCUCCUUUCAUUCUUCAAAUACGUUUACUCUCCGUUCCGUUGGCUUGCCGUUGCAGCCGUCGUCGCCGGAAUAUAUCCAAUACUAGCUAAAUCUGUAGCAUCCAUUGCAAGGGCUAGAAUCGACAUCAACAUUCUUGUUGUAAUAACCGUGGGAGCAACACUCGGUAUGAGAGACUACACAGAAGCCGCAGCAGUUGUCUUCUUAUUCACAAUCGCUGAAUGGCUCCAGUCUAGGGCUAGCUACAAGGCAAGUGCGGUGAUGCAGUCGCUGAUGAGUUUAGCUCCACAGAAGGCGGUGAUUGCAGAAACUGGAGAAGAAGUUGGAGUGGAUGAGCUCAAGAUCAACACUGUUAUAGCUGUCAAAGCUGGUGAAACCAUACCUAUUGAUGGAGUUGUUGUGGAUGGAAACUGUGAGGUUGAUGAGAAAACCUUGACUGGUGAAGCAUUCCCUGUGCCUAAACUGAGAGAUUCAACUGUUUGGGCUGGUACCAUUAAUUUAAAUGGUUACAUAACUGUGAAAACAACUGCUCUAGCUGAGGAUUGCGUGGUUGCUAAGAUGGCAAAGCUAGUGGAAGAAGCUCAGAACAGCAAAACAGAAACUCAGAGAUUCAUAGACGAAUGUUCUAAGUAGUAUACUCCAGCGAUCAUCCUCAUAUCGCUCUGUUUUGUGGUUAUCCCAUUCGCAUCGAAGGUUCACAACAUGAAACAUUAGCUGCACUUAGCACUAGUUGUGCUAGUAAGUGCUUGUCCUUGUGGGCUUAUUCUCUCAACACCAGUAGCCACUUUCUGUGCCCUCACUAAAGCAGCCACAUCAGGACUUCUGAUCAAAGGAGCUGAUUAUCUUGAGACCUUAGCCAAGAUCAAAACCGUUGCUUUUGACAAAACCGGGACCAUAAGUCCAUCACUAGAGGAGAGUUCAUCGUCAUUGAUUUCAAGUCACUCUCCAGAGAUAUAAGCCUCAACAGCUUGCUUUACUGGGUAUCAAGCGUGGAGAGCAAGUCAAGCCAUCCAAUGGCUGCUGCACUCGUGGACUACGCAAAAUCUGUCUCUGUUGAACCUGAGCCUGAAGCUGUUGUAGACGACCAGAACUUUCCAGGAGAAGGCAUUCACGGAAACAUUGAUGGCAAAAAAGUCUAUAUUGGGAACAAAAGGAUUGCUUCAAGAGCUGGGCGUUCAUCAGGUGCAUAUCAAAUGAAUGUAAUUUUUUUUUUUUUUUGGUUUUGUUUACAUGCUAAUGGUUCUCUGCUUUGGUUUGUGUAAAAAUUUCCAGAUAUAGAUGUUGAUACUAAAGGAGGAAAGACUGUUGGAUACGUCUAUGUUGGAGAGACAUUAGCUGGAUUAUUCAACCUCUCAGAUGCUUGUAGAUCAGGUGUAGCUCAAGCGAUGAAAGAACUCAAAUCAAUGGGAAUAAAGACUGCAAUGCUAACCGGAGAUAACCAAGCUGCAGCAAUGUAUGCUCAAGAACAGCUAGGGAAUGUUAUGGACGUUGUACAUGCGGCGCUUCUUCCAGAAGGCAAGUCCCAAAUCAUCAAAGAGUUUAAGAGAGAAGGUCCAAGGGCUAUGGUAGGAGACGGUUUGAAUGAUGCACCGGCUUUGGCUACAGCUGAUAUUGGUAUCUCGAUGGGUGUUUCCGGCUCUGCGCUUGCAACGGAGACCGGUCAUAUAAUCUUGAUGUCUAAUGACAUCAGGAGGAUACCGCAAGCGAUAAGGCUUGCACGUAGGGGUAAAAGGAAAGUGGUGGAGAAUGUGGUUUUGUCUAUUACUAUGAAAGGAGCGAUUCUUGCUUUGGCUUUUGCUGGUAAUCCUCUGAUUUGGGCGGCUGUGCUUGCGGAUGUGGGGACUUGUUUGCUUGUGAUACUCAAUAGCAUGUUGUUGCUUCGAGAUGCGCACGUUCCUGGAGACAAAUGUCAUAGGGCAGAGAAACAUGAAGGGGAUGUUGUUGGAGACAUGGAAGCAGGUUUGUUACCGAAGCAUUGCAAGUCAGGCUGUUGUGGAAAGGAGAAGCAAGAGGUAGUGAUGAAACCGGCUAAAACUAUUUCGGGACAUGGUCACUCUGGUUGUUGUGACAAGAAACAUAAAGUUGAUGUGAUGAUUGUGAGAAAGAGCUGUGAAUCAAGGUGUUGUGGUGACAAGAUUCAGCAGCAACCAAACCAAGACGAGGUGAAACAGAGCUGUCACAACAAGGCUGGUGAGUUGAAGGAGAUAAGGCUGGACCUAUUGGUCAAAGGUUGUUGCUCAAGGCCUGAUGCUGAUCCCGUGGUAGCUAGCUUGAAAGUGAAGAGUGAUGGGAGCUGCAGUGAAAGUUCAAGGAAAGGUAAUAACGAAGAGGCAUGUUGUGAGGUGAAAACUGUAAAGAACAUGUUUUUGGUAGGUACAACAAGAAGUUGUAUCAAGAACAUGUUUGUUGAUUAAUUCAACAACACAUUUCUUUUGUGUUUUUGGUAGGUGCAACAAGAAGUUUCACCAACUCCUCAUAAUCUCCUAUAAAUAACACACAAGGGGAAGAAGAAAUCCAUCCCAAAACAAAGAGAAAACAAGAGAAAAAGAGAGUGAGCAAGAGAGAAAAAAAAAAAAAUCUUUCUUGUGAGAAAAUCUUUCUCUAUAAGAAAUUAAGUGUAAUUUCUUGAGUGUAUUUGGGGUCGGGUGUGAGUUGAGAGCUUGUAAAAAUUUCUCGGGUUGAUAAUAAAAGAUCUGUAGCAGGUCCGGAGACGUAGGCAAGAUUGGCCGAACUCCGUUAACAAUUGUGUGUGUGUUUUUCCGCUCCCAUAAAUUCGGUUUUCCGCAAAAAUUUGACCGCAUAUUUCCUAACAACUGGUAUCAGAGCUUGAGUUACGGUGAUCGGUCAAAAAAAAUUUUGCGGAGUUACUAUUCACGUGAACAGUAAUUCGUGAAUAGUAAAUUUUGUCGGUAACAUCGGUUUGUCGACGUAGGUGUUCUAAUACACGGUGGUUCCAGAAACGAUGGGAGGCGAAGACGGUUCGGCGCACAGUAUCGGGAAAUUUGAGGUACAGAUUAUGCAUUUUGGAGAAUGCAAAUUGAAGAUUAUCUGUACGGAAAGAAGCUUCAUCAACCGCUGAGCAAGAAACCCGAGAAGAUGGAUCAGGAUGAGUGGGAGCUCCUUGAUAGACAAGUUCUGGGUGUUAUAAGGUUAACACUGUCAAAAAACGUUGCUCACAACGUUGCGAAGGAGAAGACCACAGAAGGGCUCAUGAAAGUUCUCUCUGAUAUGUAUGAGAGAAGAGGGACGUCCGUAGAUAAAGGACCUAUAACACUGAAUGUCGUUGGAUUCAAGCUUUUUGCAAUCUAAAUUAAUUUGAAAGAUGAUAUGUACUCAUGUGUACGUGUAAACUUAUAUUAUACCCAAAACUUUACUUUACUAUUUUUAUCAUCAAAAUAUUAUAGACUUCGCUAGUUCUUGAGAUUUGCUUUCUAUAUUAAACAU